AACACUUGCGUCAAAAUCCGUCAAAAUCAAUACUUCGAAGGGAACGAAAUCUCUUCUCUUUCUGUUCUCCUUCUCCAUCUUUCUGUUUUUCUUUGUUCGUCAAUAUGUUUUAAUUUAUUUUCUGAUCGAUCAUGUGUUCUGAUUGUUCAAUAUAAACUUUGUUCUAAUUGUUGUUUGUUUUGUUCUAUUUUGUAGGUGUGGUUUUUGAAGAAAAUAUGAAUAGCCAAAUCCAAUUAUGUAUUGGUAAACCCUAACUUUUUUCUGUCUCUUUAUUUCUCUGAAUCAAUGAGAUAGAGAAUCAGGGCUAGAAAUCCAUUUCAACGACAUCUGUUAUCAAUCAAUCCGGGCGCAUAUUAUCUGUAAAUGUUAUUAACUGUGUUUCAAUUCAUAGAUAUACAUAAUCUGGAAAGUGUUAUAAUUAUUUCAUUUAAGUCGUGUUCUUAGUUUUUGCUUAUUUCUCUUUUUGGGUUUUCAGCCAAACAGAUAGAGUUUGCUCCUUUUCGAUAUUUUUGCAGGGUUUAAUUCUCUAAACUAAAUGGGAGAGGCAUGGUUUCUUCCCUAUCAUUGUUCUAUUUUGGUAUUGAUGUUUAUUUAUUAUUUAUUGAUUUUUAUUGCACAAUCUUAUUUAUAAUUGUUGUUUUUAGUCUUAGAAAGAAGCUUCAACCGUCUUACACUAUUUCCUGAAAUCUACAGAUGAAAAGCUUCGCCCUCACCAAAACUUUAUUGCUCCAUGGUACACUCUCUUUUAGAUUUCUCUUAUUUCUCUUUGAAAAUUGCAUCAAGAUAUAAAAUAAUUGAUUCUUAUUUAAUAUCUACGAAAUAUGUAAUCUUUCGGCUGGACAUGUAAUUCAAUGAACACCUAAAUAUUAGCGAUGCUGACUACUUUGCCUUAUGUGUUUGAAGUUGUAUCGGAGGAUUUCCAGGGAAUCACACAACUAUGUGACGAAAUCCCGGCAUCUCGGUCUUAUCUAAGCUGCAUACUUUGCUUUGUUUGUAUAUAUAAUUUGAGCUUUUGAACUGAUAUCAAGGAUGGGAGUUUACGUAUUACAAAAUUAAAGAGUAACCUUGAAAGUGAUCCUCAACCACAUCUCCGUUUACUGUUUUCAUUGAUUUCUAAUGUGGUCGGCAGUUUUGAUUGGUGUUUGAUAUUCUGAUGAGAUUUGCUUUACUUGCACUUUGGUCUAGGACUUCCAAAAAGCAAAGAAUAAGGCUUCAAAGCAUUUUAUAGAAACAAUGGCGGCCAAUAGCUUUGUCCUAAACUACCCUUUACUUAAGGGUUGUUAUCUGCGGCACUGAGCACUCCUGCUAAACUCAUGUAUUCACUUUUCAAGAUACCUUCCAUAUUCAUUUUAUUAAUCGAUGUAUUGCAAGUCUAUAAUAGGAUAUUUGAGGUCGUGGGAAAUCUUUUGCUAUCAAUAGUAGCCAAGUAGUAACUAUCUUCGUUAUUCAACAUCGGGAUACUAACAUACUGUUGACAUCUAAUUAAGUUUUCUGGGCGAGGUUCCGCGAAAUGUUGAUCACUAUAUCCUCUAGGAAACUAUAUUGAUAUGAAGUAUUAAUUUGUCUUGAAGGUGAGUGUUUUCUCUUAUCCAAGUUUGAUUUGGACGCCUUGAUUCUCUAACCCAAGUUUGAUCCUUUUUUAAUUAAAUAAUUAAGUUACUUAUCUUUGAUAAGGCUUGCUGCUUCACCUCUUGCUCUUACAAGUCAUCUACCUUCAAUAUAUAGAAAGAAAAAUUGCAUAUAAGUUAUUAUAAUGUAAUUUUUGAGUUUUGAAGUCAUACACAAGCAAUAAUUUAGGCUUCGUCACAGUUGUUAAUUGAGCUAACUGAGUUGAUAUGUAACGGACUUUCAAUUUUAUUUCAAUUGAUAUUUUACCAGAACAUGUCAUCCUUUACCAGAGAUUUCUUUCUAUUUGUUUCAUUCUCUUUCCUCUACUCCCGUUUUUCUCUACUUUACUAUUGAUUUUUUUUUUCGUUUUUUUUUUAUGUGCAGGUGCUAAUACACGGAUGGAAAAGAAAAACAUAAUCAUUGUGGCUUAUCGAUCCUGUUCUUAUUAACUGAACCAUGCAACAUGUUCAUAAAUCAAAAAUUGGGGUUUUGCUCCUUUUUUAUUAAUUAAUUUGAUGUGUUUUGAUUUUGCUGACGAGGGUUUACCAGGUGUUGAUGUCUUUUCUCUCUGUUAUUAGCAGGAUAAGUAUAUAUAGAUGGCCAUGAUAUGCGGUAACUCCUAUCUGUUCUUAUUCUUUUUUAUCCAUUUUCGGUGAGUUGUUGAGUAAAGUAUUGCUCAUGCAGUUAAUGUUCUGUUGUUGAGUACCAUUGACAACCCCAUGGUGUACAGUAACACAGGGAAAACACAUCAUGAAUGGGGUUUUAGAAAACAAAGGAUUCACAAUGUGAAUCCUUAGACAACAUUGUGAACUUAGUGACUAACACUUUACCUAGAUCUUUAGGCCACGGAAGUGUAUUGCAGACAAAAAUGAUGCAACAUCUUACGGUUUGUACAGCCCGACAAUUGAGAUAACAUAUGACGAGCACAAGCUGAAAGCUCUGUUGGAUAACUUUAUUAUUCUAAAUGAUUUUAAGUGUCUUAUUUCUUGGUUUCCCAUUUAUGUCGGGUAAUCAAUGAUGUGUACUAAAUCUGGACACUUUAUUGAUUUCAAGUCUUUCA